rnacentral:lncRNA from 1 species
CUAUGAGGAGCAAUAUCUUCAUUUGAUGCUUGUUGUAUAUUUGUAUCAACUAUUUUGAAUGAUAUUAAAGAAAUGAAUUGGAAGUUGGUCAAAUAAUUUACUCAAAAUAAAGCAUAUACUUAUGUUCAAUAAGACAAUGACGUGAUUAAAGGACUAUCCCUUCAAUAAGUUCAGGUGUAAAAUGUGGUUUCGUUACAAAUUCCAAUAGUGUUGUAUUAUAUACAAGCUCUAAAAAAACAGGUAAGUUAAUGCAGUUUUGUUAUUAUAUCAAUUGAAGAGUUUAUUUUCGAUUUCCUAGAUUUACAGAUCGGGUUGAUGAAUAUGCGAAAAUUUAACAGUAAGUGUAGGCUGUUAUUUCAAAUGUUAUUUGUUUCAAUAUUUCCAAUUUUGCUAAAAUAGAAAAAAAAGAUACCUUGUUGAUUCAAUUUGGCACAUAAUUUCAAACGUAAAACGAAUUCCCUGAAUUGUAUUUAAAACAGGUUCCUGUUUGACUAGUAUCCACUGUAAAACAAUGACAGAAAUACUUGUUGACUGGUGCAGAUCUUAAGUUAUAUCUUUUGUUCAUAUAAUGUGACUUUAAUUCCAUGUGAUACUACUGGUGAUAGUAUAAUAUAGUAACAAUAAUAUAUGAAUAUUUCAACUUGUCAAUGCUUUCAGAUAGUUAAGAGAUUUACUGAUAUUCUACAUUUGAAUAAUUUUUAUGUUUUAAACAUUAAAUUAAUGAAUGUUUACUAUUGCAUGUUUACUAUUGCAGAUAAAUAUAUCCAAUAAAGGAAUAGUAUAUUUUUAAGCAAACCAUUGCUUUAUUUCAUAUGUUGUUAACGUUAUACUUUACGGAUCACCAGCAUGUUCUAUACAUGCUAUAUACGUCAAUAUCCUUAAUGCGCCUCAAAUUGAGUAACACAAAAUGUCUGCGUAAACAGAAAUGUUAGUGUAGUAAUA